rfam:Gossypium hirsutum cultivar TM-1 unplaced genomic scaffold scaffold3081.1, whole genome shotgun sequence
UGUUAAAAUUUUUUAUAUAUUUGUAUUAUUAAAAAUUGAUAGAAUAAUCAAACAACAACAUGUGACAUGCCACGUGUCUCUUUUGUUGACAUAUAGAGACCGAGUUUUAACAAUAGAAAUGCAUAAAAUUUUUAAUU